rnacentral:rRNA from 1 species
AUUGAACGCUGGCGGCGUGCUUAACACAUGCAAGUCGAACGGCAGCAGAGUUUAGUUUACUAGACAGAUGGCGAGUGGCGAACGGGUGAGUAAUACGCAGGAAUAUACCUUAAAGAGGGGGAUAACUUGGGGAAACUCAAGCUAAUACCGCAUAAUAUCUGAGGAUAAAAGCUAGGGACCGGAAGGCCUUGCGCUUUAAGAAUAGCCUGCGUCCGAUUAGCUAGUUGGUGAGGUAAAGGCUGCACCAAGGCGACGAUCGGUAGCUGGUCUGAGAGGAUGAACAGCCACACUGGGACUGAGACACGGCCCAGACUCCUACGGGAGGCGGCAGUGGGGAAUAUUGGACAAUGGGGGGAACCCUGAUCCAGCAAUGCCGCGUGUGUGAAGAAGGCCUGAGGGUUGUAAGGCACUUUCAGUGGGGAGGAGGAUAUGGGGGUUAAGAGCUGCCAUAUUGGACGUUACCCACAGAAGAAGCACCGGCUAACUCCGUGCCAGCCGCCGCCGUAACAC